UAUUUUCGAAGCUCCUCAACUUAUUAUUUCUCAGGUUUUUACCGUCAUUAUAUUUUCAAUUUGUUGGUUUUACUUUCCUUUUUAGUCUAUUUAAAAAAGAAUGCUUCUUUUCUUUUUUGACACCAAUUUGCUUUGUUGAUCUCGCAUUUUGCUUUCGUCAUUUUCUUUUCUGCCUUGAUUUGAUUACACUUCUUUUGAGCCGAGAUCUAUCUGAAACAACCUCUCUAUCAUACAAAGUUGUAGGUAGAGAUAAGGUUUGCGUAUAUCCUAUUCUUCCGAACCUCACUCAGAUUAUUCUUAAAAUCAUGAUAAAUUGUUUUUUUUAAAAUUGAUUAAAACUAGAAAAGUGGACAUUAAUACAUAAAGAAGGUAAGUUGCAUACUUGUAUUAAGUGAGGGACCUGGUUUGCGAGUUGGCGAAGCUAGACAGGGCCACUUUCUGUCAGGUCCACCGGGGAUAACGAUUAGUUCAUGCGACAGUUCAUUGCUUAAGUGAUUACAGAUUAUUUUUAUUCAUAUGACUCAUUUCACAUGAGAUCUUUUAUGUUGAAACAUUUGAAAAAAAAAAAAAGAAAAAAAAAAAAGACAAUAUGAAACAGAAAAUCACUAAAGGACCAUUUUUAUUCUAUUAACCUAUUAUUUUAUCUGUUUAUAUUACACUCCUUGGAUGUUAUAUGCAUCGGGCUAGUUUAACCAAUUAUUAGGUUGUCUACCCUAAUCCAUUUUUAUUUUUUU